AUUGAACGCUGGCGGCAGGCCUAACACAUGCAAGUCGAACGGUAACAGGAAGCAGCUUGCUGCUUCGCUGACGAGUGGCGGACGGGUGAGUAAUGUCUGGGAAACUGCCUGAUGGAGGGGGAUAACUACUGGAAACGGUAGCUAAUACCGCAUAACGUCGCAAGACCAAAGAGGGGGACCUUAGGGCCUCUUGCCAUCGGAUGUGCCCAGAUGGGAUUAGCUAGUAGGUGGGGUAACGGCUCACCUAGGCGACGAUCCCUAGCUGGUCUGAGAGGAUGACCAGCCACACUGGAACUGGGACACGGUCCAGACUCCUACGGGAGGCAGCAGUGGGGAAUAUUGCACAAUGGGCGCAAGCCUGAUGCAGCCAUGCCGCGUGUAUGAAGAAGGCCUUCGGGUUGUAAAGUACUUUCAGCGGGGAGGAAGGGAGUAAAGUUAAUACCUUGGCUCAUUGACGUUACCCGCAGAAGAAGCACCGGCUAACUCCGUG
rnacentral:rRNA from 1 species